rnacentral:rRNA from 1 species
UACGGAGGGAGCUAGCGUUGUUCGGAUAUACUGGGCGUAAAGCGCACGUAGGCGGCGCCGUAAGUCAGGGGUGAAAUCCCGGAGCUCAACUCCGGAACUGCCCUUGAAACUGCAGUGCUAGAAUCCUGGAGAGGCGAGUGGAAUUCCGAGUGUAGAGGUGAAAUUCGUAGAUAUUCGGAAGAACACCAGUGGCGAAGGCGGGUCUCUGGGCCGAUACUGACGCUGAGGAGCGAAAGCGUGGGGAGCGAACAGG